rnacentral:tRNA from 1 species
UGGUGAUUCAGUGGUAAAUUCUCGCCUUCCAUGCGGGAGGCCUGGGUUCAAUUUCCAGCCA